AAGACCUCUAAGGCAAAAGAGUGAGGAGCAAAUAUUUUUCAAGUCUUAACUGAGGAAUCCAUUGUGUGCUGAAAACAAUGCAAAUCUCUGAAGAUAAAAAAAAGAGAGAGAGAAUGACACAGCUUCUGUACUCAAUGAGAGAAAGGAUUACAAGGUGUGAUGAGAGUUCCUGACUAACUCAACUAGAGAAGAAAGGAGGUUGGGGAGGCCACCUCAGCGGCAAUGAUAAUUGCCCUGAGUUUCUAAAGCAGAGUUAUUAUGAGGGGGAGAAUGGUGAUAUGAUUAAAGACAAGAGUCCUAUCCUGAGAAGUUCAUAGCUAAAAAUAAAGAGGGUGCCAGGUGUGAAUUCAGAAGUUUGGACCUAUUGGUAACAUGACUUGUAGAUACGCUUGCUAUAAAGGCACACAGAAUAAGAUCAGAAGAAUGAUGUGUAGAGAUGGUUGUGGAAGACAGAAGCAGAAGGUCAACAGGCAAUUGGCAAGACACCAGAAAGAAAUCUAAAAGGCAUACACUUAGUUCAGAAUUAUAGCACAUCUGGGAAUAAAAAAAAAAGAAAACAUGGUGAUGUCUCAAAACUGAUAUCAAAAUAAAUCUCAUUAACUGAAGAAAAUAACUUGAUCUUAAAUCUGUUUGCUAACUAUGAUUUUCAACAAAAGACUUCUCAGGAAGUAAUUUUACUCAGAUCCUUAUAGGUUGAAAGAAUUAAAAAUAGAAACUUUUCCUUCUGUUAAUGCCAUUAGCUGACAGCUAAUGAGAUUGAAG
rnacentral:lncRNA from 1 species